GACGAACGCUGGCGGCGUGCUUAACACAUGCAAGUCGAGCGGGGGAAGGUAGCUUGCUACCGGACCUAGCGGCGGACGGGUGAGUAAUGCUUAGGAAUCUGCCUAUUAGUGGGGGACAACAUCUCGAAAGGGAUGCUAAUACCGCAUACGUCCUACGGGAGAAAGCAGGGGAUCUUCGGACCUUGCGCUAAUAGAUGAGCCUAAGUCGGAUUAGCUAGUUGGUGGGGUAAAGGCCUACCAAGGCGACGAUCUGUAGCGGGUCUGAGAGGAUGAUCCGCCACACUGGGACUGAGACACGGCCCAGACUCCUACGGGAGGCAGCAGUGGGGAAUAUUGGACAAUGGGGGGAACCCUGAUCCAGCCAUGCCGCGUGUGUGAAGAAGGCCUUAUGGUUGUAAAGCACUUUAAGCGAGGAGGAGGCUACUUUAGUUAAUACCUAGAGAUAGUGGACGUUACUCGCAGAAUAAGCACCGGCUAACUCUGUGCCAGCAGCCGCGGUAA
rnacentral:rRNA from 1 species